rnacentral:rRNA from 1 species
UACGGGGGGGGCAAGCGUUGUUCGGAUUUACUGGGCGUAAAGCGCACGUAGGCGGAUCGUUAAGUCGGGGGUGAAAUCCUGGAGCUCAACUCCAGAACUGCCUUCGAUACUGGCGAUCUUGAGUCCGGAAGAGGUGAGUGGAACUCCUAGUGUAGAGGUGGAAUUCGUAGAUAUUAGGAAGAACACCAGUGGCGAAGGCGGCUCACUGGUCCGGUACUGACGCUGAGGUGCGAAAGUGUGGGGAGCGAACAGG